rnacentral:rRNA from 1 species
GAUGAACGCUGGCGGUGUGCCUAAUACAUGCAAGUCGAGCGAACAGACGAUGAGCUUGUUCUUUUGCCGUUAGCGGCGGACGGGCGAGUGACACAUGGAUAGCCUACUUAUAAGUCUGGGAUAAUUCCGGGAAAACACAGCAAAUACUGGAUAAUAUAUUGAACCGCAUGGUUCAAUAGUUAUAGACGGUUUUGCCGCCACUAAUAGAUGGAUUCGAGCCGCAUUAGCUAGUUGGUAAGGUAACGGCCUACCAAGGCUACGAUCCGUAGCCGAUCUGAGAGGGUGAUCAGCCACACUGGAACUGAGACACGGUCCAGACUCCUACGGGAGGCAGCAGUGGGGAAUCUUCCACAAUGGGCGAAAGCCUGACGGAGCCACGCCGCGUGAGUGAUGAAGGUCUUCGGGUCGUAAAGCACUGUUGUUAGGUAAGAACAAAUGUGUAAUUAACUAUCCACGUUUUGACGGUACCUAAUCAGAAAGCCACGGCUAACUUCGUG